rnacentral:ncRNA from 2 species
UCUUUCGCAUACGCCGCUGGUUCCGACCCCUUUCGACAAGGGCGGAUUAAAAGGGAAUCCGGUGAGGAAAGAGCCGAAGGCUGCGUUUCGACGACGAAGCGAGACCACGCCCUCGUGCCCUUCCGAGUCCGGAGCUGUACCCGCAACUGUAAGCUGCGUGCCGUACGGGCGACGAUGACGCCGCCGGUCACUGGAUCCUCCGGGAUCCGGGAAGGCCGGUGGCCGAGCCGACCCGUUGUGCUCCCCUGCCGGGAGCGCGCAGCAAGCCAGGAGACCUGCCAGCGUGCGUCUGUGCCG